UUCUGCUACCAUUUCUUUAUUCUUUUUUCCAUCAGUUCGCGACUUUUCUGAUGCGUUGAACGUAAUAUUUACUAUCUAAGCGGCCUGGAGUCAAGUAAGCAUACGAUAAAUCGAUUGUUUGACUGAUCCAGUUAUUUCUUACAUCCAUGGAUUUCUCGCAUUCUUUCUCAGCUUAUAACCUCUGGAAGGUUCACCAUGCCAUCGACAGAGGACGCAUAAACCGGCUUUUCGCAGAUCGGAUUUGCACCAAUUUUGCACUCGAAGAUGCUCCAAGCCGCAGCUCGACGUGUAAAUCACUAUGGAAAGGACAUUUGCGAACCGCUCCUUCCCUCUGCUUUCCAUGACCUAUCGCGCGCUCUCUGUCUUCCUCUCUGUUUCUUCUGUAUUCCCAACAAUCUCUAAAGCGUUGUAGCUUUCGUCAGUGGUGCUUCAAUUUUUCCCACAAAAAUCAAGCUACAAGCAGCUCUCUAAUAUUUCGGAUUUAGAUGCCUAACACUUCUGUAUGAUAUUUGCUACAAGAUUCGUGUGAUAAUAUAAUAAUACUCAGAAACCAGAAAGUGUCUAAAAAAAUUAGCACAGAGAAAUAGCAUAGAAGGAUUAGCACAUAUCUUAGGUAUUUGUAUUGUCUAAAAAGUGAUGUAACUAGUUAGGAGAACAAAGAGUUAAAAACAUAGACAGGACUUUAAGCAUCAUAUUUGAUUGCGAAUUAACAAAGUGACGCCGCACCUUGGACGAACCACUGCUGCGCGGUAGCUUUUCUCUCAGGAUGCUGUAGGAGAAAGAUAAAACAAAGAUGAAGUUCAAGGUUACGCUCGCUAUUGCGCAACACAAUCGACGCUCUGUAUAUAUCUGAGAAUUUACAACAGCAUAUACAAGGUAUUCAGGAUUUGAAAUACAGCAGUACACAAAGCAUAAAGAAACUCUCACAAAGAACUGAAAUUGUGAAAGCAAAAAAGACUUAUUGCCUUUCAAAUUUUAUUGUCGUGUUUGAAGAACCAUAUAUGUUUUAUAGUGUUCAAAUCUUUUGAAAUCUUUA